GUUAGUUCAGUGUUAGUUCAGUGUUAGUUCAGUGUGUUAGUUCAGUGUUAGUUCAGUGUUAGUUCAGUGUUAGUUCAGUGUGUUAGUUCAGUGUUAGUUCAGUGUUAGUUCAGUGUUAGUUCAGUGUUAGUUCAGUGUUAGUUCAGUGUUAGUUCAGUGUGUUAGUUCAGUGUUAGUUCAGUGUUAGUUCAGUGUUAGUUCAGUGUUAGUUCAGUGUUAGUUCAGUGUUUCUUCAGUGUUUCUUCAGUGUUUCUUCAGUGUUAGUUCAGUGUUAGUUCAGUGUUAGUUCAGUGUUAGUUCAGUGUUUUAGUUCAGUGUUAGUUCAGUGUUAGUUCAGUGUUAGUUCAGUGUUAGUUCAGUGUUAGUUCAGUGUGUUAGUUCAGUGUUAGUUCAGUGUUAGUUCAGUGUUUUAGUUCAGUGUUAGUUCAGUGUUAGUUCAGUGUUAGUUCAGUGUUUCUUCAGUGUUUUAGUUCAGUGUUUGUUCAGUGUUAGUUCAGUGUUAGUUCAGUGUUAGUUCAGUGUUUCUUCAGUGUUAGUUCAGUGUUAGUUCAGUGUUAGUUCAGUGUUUUAGUUCAGUGUUUUAGUUCAGUGUUAGUUCAGUGUUAGUUCAGUGUUAGUUCAGUGUUAGUUCAGUGUUAGUUCAGUGUUAGUUCAGUGUUUUAGUUCAGUGUUUCUUCAGUGUUUUAGUUCAGUGUUAGUUCAGUGUUAGUUCAGUGUGUUAGUUCAGUGUUAGUUCAGUGUUAGUUCAGUGUGUUAGUUCAGUGUUUUAGUUCAGUGUUAGUUCAGUGUUAGUUCAGUGUUAGUUCAGUGUUAGUUCAGUGUUAGUUCAGUGUUUCUUCAGUGUUUCUUCAGUGUUUCUUCAGUGUUAGUUCAGUGUUGGUUCAGUGUUAGUUCAGUGUUAGUUCAGUGUUAGUUCAGUGUUUCGUUCAGUGUUAGUUCAGUGUUAGUUCAGUGUGUUAGUUCAGUGUUAGUUCAGUGUGUUAGUUCAGUGUUAGUUCAGUGUUAGUUCAGUGUUUUAGUUCAGUGUUAGUUCAGUGUUAGUUCAGUGUUAGUUCAGUGUUAGUUCAGUGUUAGUUCAGUGUGUUAGUUCAGUGUUAGUUCAGUGUUAGUUCAGUGUUAGUUCAGUGUUAGUUCAGUGUGUUAGUUCAGUGUUAGUUCAGUGUUGGUUCAGUGUUUUAGUUCAGUGUUAGUUCAGUGUUGGUUCAGUGUUGGUUCAGUGUUAGUUCAGUGUUAGUUCAGUGUUGGUUCAGUGUUGGUUCAGUGUUAGUUCAGUGUUAGUUCAGUGUUAGUUCAGUGUUAGUUCAGUGUUAGUUCAGUGUUAGUUCAGUGUUAGUUCAGUGUGUUAGUUCAGUGUUAGUUCAGUGUGUUAGUUCAGUGUUAGUUCAGUGUUAGUUCAGUGUUUUAGUUCAGUGUUAGUUCAGUGUUAGUUCAGUGUUAGUUCAGUGUUAGUUCAGUGUGUUAGUUCAGUGUUAGUUCAGUGUUAGUUCAGUGUUAGUUCAGUGUUAGUUCAGUGUGUUAGUUCAGUGUUAGUUCAGUGUUAGUUCAGUGUUAGUUCAGUGUUAGUUCAGUGUUAGUUCAGUGUUAGUUCAGUGUUUUAGUUCAGUGUUUCUUCAGUGUUUUAGUUCAGUGUUAGUUCAGUGUUAGUUCAGUGUGUUAGUUCAGUGUUAGUUCAGUGUUAGUUCAGUGUUAGUUCAGUGUUUUAGUUCAGUGUUUCUUCAGUGUUUUAGUUCAGUGUUAGUUCAGUGUUAGUUUAGUGUUUUAGUUCAGUGUUAGUUCAGUGUGUUAGUUCAGUGUUAGUUCAGUGUGUUAGUUCAGUGUUAGUUCAGUGUUAGUUCAGUGUGUUAGUUCAGUGUUAGUUCAGUGUUAGUUCAGUGUUAGUUCAGUGUUAGUUCAGUGUUAGUUUAGUGUUUCUUCAGUGUUUCUUCAGUGUUUCUUCAGUGUUAGUUCAGUGUUGGUUCAGUGUUAGUUCAGUGUUAGUUCAGUGUUAGUUCAGUGUUUCUUCAGUGUUAGUUCAGUGUUAGUUCAGUGUUAGUUCAGUGUUAGUUCAGUGUUUUAGUUCAGUGUUAGUUCAGUGUUAGUUCAGUGUGUUAGUUCAGUGUUUCUUCAGUGUUAGUUCAGUGUUUCUUCAGUAUUUUCCCAUCAGGCCGUUUUGACAGUUGAUCACUAUAAUAUACGUGUGUGCCUCGUGGUUUUCUGACUCCUGUGUGUUUGGCAUCAUGACUGUUGUUGACUACGGCCUGUGUCCCAAACGGUUCCCCUAUCCACUAUGCCCUCGCUACCUUUUUUUAGCAGUGUCCGUCUGGCUCUGGCCUAAAGGAGCACCCUACGGAGUGUGUAGGGCGCAGGCUGCCAGUCGGGACUCAGGCUGAUCCAGAGGCAGAUUUUUAUGCCUCGGCCUCGUCCCGUCUUUCGGCGACGUCGCUUGAUGUUUUUCUUGUGGGUCCCGAAGGAGGACAUUUUGAAAU
rnacentral:lncRNA from 1 species